GUUCUCCAGACAGGACCACUGGUGCCGUCCGUCUGUGCCCUGCUGGGCUCUGACCGCUUUCCCACGAAAGUGCACACACCCAGGCCCAGCGCAUCUCCAGGCUCAGUGAGCUGUGUCGGUGUUGCUCUGUGUGAAUGUUCGCUUGGCGUGUGUUUCCGCUUUGCGUCUAGGUCAUUCAUUACUGGACGGUGUGGAAUAAAUACUGGGAAAUGCAAGUUAGAAGUAAGUUCAGGGAGUUUCAUCUGAAAUUACAGCAGAAGCCAAGAGAGAUUCGCCAAAGCUUCCACGUCAUUAGACAGAGACAUUAGUGACCACUGCCGAGGGGUAAAGAGAGCGGAUAUAGAGGAUGUAGACUGCACACCAAGGGCAUCAGAGGCAGUGGCAGUUGACUGUACGUCCUGCCAGCCUGCUAUUCUAUUUGACCUGGUGAAAUGCACUGCCAAAAAUGCCUGCUCAGGCUGGGGACAAAGCUCGGUGGAUGAUGCCUGAGGCCUGGGGUUCCUCCCAGCACCGCCAAAGAGUGAAUAAGUGAAUAGCCUGCUCUUUGCCUCAUAUAGCAUUGAGCAAAUAUUCAGUAUAUGCUGUUUUUUAUUUCUGUAACAGAUUUAUCUCAUUACACAACAAGAGAAAUCGAAGUCAUCCAUAGAAAGAUCAAAAUAGAGAACAAGAGACUAAAACACCGUUGCAGUGAAUUAGAAGAAAAAUAUGAAGCCUCAGAGCUGCAGAUAACACAAAUAUUGACCAUCUACAGACACCAGUUGCAGCAGAAAGAGGUCGAAAUCAGCCUGCUGAAGGCAAGAGAGGGUGCACUGCAGGAAGAGCUGCUGAAGCUGCAGCAAGCCACUCAGGCGGUGCCCUUAGGGACCGACGGUGCACCAGCACCCACUGAGUCAUCUUAUGCCACCUACGGGACCCAUCAUGGUGCUUCAGCUGGCUAUGACGAGGACAUGGACUUUGAAGACCUGAUUUCCUGUCAACAACAAAUUAACCGUCUGACCAAUGAAGUCUCAAGACUUCAAUCUGAUGUGGGCCAUUGGAGGCGCAUUGCCCAGGUAGGUGAAUCUGCGUGAGUUUAAAAAGCUAGAAGUGAGUACGAAUAGCGGUGCUGU
rnacentral:lncRNA from 1 species